GGUGGCUCAGUGGUAGAGCGCUUGUCUUGCAUGCAUGAGGCCCUGGGUUCCAUUCCUCAGUACCA
rnacentral:tRNA from 1 species